rnacentral:rRNA from 1 species
UACGUAGGGUGCGAGCGUUGUCCGGAAUUAUUGGGCGUAAAGGGCUCGUAGGCGGUCUGUCGCGUCGAAAGUGAAAACUCAGGGCUUAACCCUGAGCCUGCUUCCGAUACGGGCAGACUAGAGGUAUGCAGGGGAGAACGGAAUUCCUGGUGUAGCGGUGAAAUGCGCAGAUAUCAGGAAGAACACCCGUGGCGAAGGCGGCUCUCUGGUACGUGACUGACGCUGAGACGCGAAAGCGUGGGGAGCGAACAGG